GACGAACGCUGGCGGCGUGCUUAACACAUGCAAGUCGAACGAAGAGCGAUGGAAGCUUGCUUCUAUCAAUCUUAGUGGCGAACGGGUGAGUAACGCGUAAUCAACCUGACCUUCAGAGGGGGACAAAAGUAGGAAACGACUGCUAAUAACGCAUACGAUCUAAUCUCGGCAUCGAGGAUAGAUGAAAGGUGGCCUCUACAGGUAGGCUAUCACUGAAGGAGGGGAUUGCGUCUGAUUAGCUAGUUGGAGGGGUAACGGCCCACCAAGGCGAUGAUCAGUAGCCUGUCUUGGAGGAUGAACGGCCACCUUGGGACUGAGACACCGCCCAGACUCCUACGGGAGGCAGCAGUGGGGAAUCUUCCGCAAUGGACGAAAGUCUGACGGCGCAACGCCGCGUGAGCUAUGACGGCCUUCGGGUUGUAAAGCUCUGUUUAUCGGGACGAAAGGCCUUCUUGCGAAUAGUGAGAAGGAUUGACGGUACCGGAAGAGAAAGCCACGGCUAACUACGUG
rnacentral:rRNA from 1 species